AUGUGGCCCUCCCCCCGCGCUGCAAUUGAGGAGCAUUUACUCAGUGAGUACAAUAGGUUUGUUUGAAACAGACCGUAACGGAGAGAUCAGUGCCCAGGGAAGCGAAGGGACAACAGACUCCUUCCAGCAGCACAUCGAGAUGGGAGCCUGCGACACAGAAGGGGCUCCGUGACCGGGAUUGAUUCGGGGCAAAUAUUUGAUGGAUCAAUCCAAGUGUGACCAGCUGCUUCUCACACCCAGCAGACAAUUACUUGAAGGACCCAGACAGUGUAAUAUGUCCUCGGUACAAAGCCAAAUGUGAUCAGUUCCUUCUAACAAACAGCAGCAAUGCCAUCGUUUAAUCCGAUUUUUCAGAAUGCAAAAAGCAAAGCAUUUUCUGCUGUGGGUGAGAGGCUUUCAAAGGGAACAAAGAGAACGCCAAAACAGCGACCGGAUUGAAAUGUGAUGAUUUUGCUGAAUCUGAGAGCGAUAAGGGAAGACAGCUUUAAAAUAUCGUAUAAACACCGUUAAAAAUCACACAUCAGGUUAUAGCACACCAGCUUUCGGAUCGACGCUCCUUCAUCAGAUGGUAUAAACACCGUGUUCGUCAUCGAUACUGAGCCGGAAGAAUAUUGUGUUCUGCUUUAUCAGCAUGUCGGGUGCUAUUGAAAUGUGAAGCGAAGUAGUCAAGUGCAGACUGCAGUGUUUGGCCUGGUUCGUUUCAGCUUCUUAAGGUUUAGAAAAUUACCCACUCAAGAUCGGAAAUGGACAGAUACAGGUCGGCAAAUGAGGGAGAGACAGA